UGCAUGCAGUCGAGCGGACAGAUGGGAGCUUGCUCCCUGAUGUUAGCGGCGGACGGGUGAGUAACACGUGGGUAACCUGCCUGUAAGACUGGGAUAACUCCGGGAAACCGGGGCUAAUACCGGAUGCUUGUUUGAACCGCAUGGUUCAACAUAAAAGGUGGCUUCGGCUACCACUUACAGAUGGACCCGCGGCGCAUUAGCUAGUUGGUGAGGUAAUGGCUCACCAAGGCAACGAUGCGUAGCCGACCUGAGAGGGUGAUCGGCCACACUGGGACUGAGACACGGCCCAGACUCCUACGGGAGGCAGCAGUAGGGAAUCUUCCGCAAUGGACGAAAGUCUGACGGAGCAACGCCGCGUGAGUGAUGAAGGUUUUCGGAUCGUAAAGCUCUGUUGUUAGGGAAGAACAAGUACCGUUCGAAUAGGGCGGUACCUUGACGGUACCUAACCAGA
rnacentral:rRNA from 1 species